rnacentral:rRNA from 1 species
UACGUAGGGACCGAGCGUUGUCCGGAAUCAUUGGGCGUAAAGAGCGUGUAGGCGGCCAGACAGGUCAGCUGUGAAAACUCGAGGCUCAACCUCGAGACGUCGGUUGAAACCGUCUGGCUAGAGUCCGGAAGAGGAGAGUGGAAUUCCCGGUGUAGCGGUGAAAUGCGCAGAUAUCGGGAAGAACACCCGUGGCGAAGGCGGCUCUCUAGUACGGUACUGACGCUGAGACGCGAAAGCGUGGGGAGCGAACAGG